UAAAAUUUGAGGAACCCGGACAAGUGAAAGACAAAGAAAGAAGUGACAGUCGAUGAACAGUAUCGAGAUGGUGGGUGGAGCAGACAUCGUAAUCCUGGACUGGACUUCGAGGAUUAGGCUGAGAUUGUCUGGACAGCACAGUGGGAGCAGAUUGAGGCUGUUUUCUCACACACGCAGUCUCAGAAAGAGCUCAGGGGUCUUUUUUGUUUUCUGGAGAAACUGCAGUUGAGAUUUCAGAAGAAGUGUAACCUCCAGCGGAGAAAGGAGCUGUGCAUCGUGCGUUCUUGCAAAAAUCUGCGGGCCACUUUGAUUAGUAAUUGCAAGAUAUGCUACAUCCUCACAUCUACAACCGCAUGCGUCACGGCUACUGUAAGACAAACACCUAUUAUCCUCGAGAGACUGUUGACUCAAAUCUACCAGAGGUGGAAAGUUGGCCAAUGAGAGGACAGUUGCCAGGCAGUCUGUACCUUGUUUGGAGGCGGCUGGAGGCUCACACAGCUGUUCCAUUGAAAAGCAGCAGGACAUAAUAACAGGGGCCCCUCGCCAGACACAUACACACACACACACACAAACACACACCCACACACGCACACACACGCUCGCUUCACGCACACACACGCUCGCUUCCACAAAGGCACACAAUGCAGGCUGAAUUGAAUUCUGUGGUCUGAAAAGUUAACUGCGCUACUUUUUC
ensembl:lncRNA